GUAUUUGUUUGGAUCCCCCGCCUUUGUUUGGGAAUAAGGUGUAUGAACCAUUGUACUAGUCAAAUAUAUCCAAGUCCUUUAUGGAUUUUGGUAUUUCAAAAAGAAAUUCCAAACUCUUAACGAUGGAUGCCUCGGCUCGAGAAUCGAGGAAGGAGGCAACGAAGUGCGAUAAGCACUGCGAUUUGCACAAUUCCGUGAAUCAGUAGAAAUCUCAACGCAUACUGCACAAAGGGGAUCUUUCCUCUUUGUACAUACAUAUCAGAGUCGCUCUUCUUCCCGAUACAAACAUUUCUUUGCAUUUAUGCAAUCUAGUGCUUUGUAUCCCGYUUGACUCCUCUCGGAAUCUGUCUGUGCGCUUGCGAUUUUUAAUUGCAGACGUAUUAAUUUGCAAGGCUAUAACUGUAUAUAUAUGAUUGUAGCCCCUUAGAAAAGAGGGCUGGGCCCGUGGACAUUUUCAUGGAGGUCUGCAAAAUUGGCUGGGGUGGGGGGAUUUCACGUGGUCCUUGGUCCCGGGAUUUAUCUUUCCAACGCCAUAUGGCAAAAUUUGAUGAAAGCAGCGGACAGGAGGUUGGAUCCAGAGGUCAGGUCGGCCCGGGAGUAAUUAUAUAAUCAAAAGAGGGUGGAUACGCCCGCUUUUAUGGCCUAUUGUACAUCAUUAGAAGACCUGAUGUA
rnacentral:rRNA from 1 species